UCAGCGUCUCCACCUAGCAGCCACGGCCAACGCACUGCUCAGAAGCACGCCGCGCCGCCCCCUGCCUGGCGCCGGCCCUGCUCCGGCCCUAUCCCCCGCCCCCGCCUCUGCCCAUCUCCGACCCGGUCGUCGCCGAUCUUUCUCCUGGACGCACGGGCCGCCUCGGCUCUCCACGCGCGCAGUGGGCCGCCUCGAUCCUGCCCCGGACGCGUAGGCGUACGCCGCCCAUUCUCGACCUCUGUUCCUCGCCGACCGACAACUUCCUCUCCCCGUGAGCUGCACCUGUAUCUAAAAAAUUCUACAUGGGGAAGAAGCCGGGCAACGCUGGCCCUUCCUCGGCAUCCAGGCCCAUGAACCAGGCCGUGUCGCUCCGGGAGGAGGCCUCUGGGAAGACGCAGGCCGACCCGCCCUCCCUGCUGAGGGUCCAGCACCUGCAGCGGUUGGGGGCGUGGGCGAGCGGGGAGGUGGGAGUUGGCUCGAUCGGGGCCCUGCUAGGCCGCCGCCUCGCCACGAAUGCCGAGGCGGCCGGGAUCCCUAUAGGCGCCUCCACCUUUCUUUGCCAGAGGUGUGAAUCAAUCUUGCAGCCAGGCUUCAACUGCACAAUCCGCAUAAAGAACAACAAAAAGAAUGGAAAGCGGCGCAAGAAGUCAAAUCCUGGCCAAAACAGUGUUGUCUAUGCAUGCCAUUUCUGUGGAGACGAAAACCUGAUACGGGGUAGUGGAAAGGGUAUCGUGAAGGGCCUGUUGUCAUCAAGAAAACCCGUUAGCACCAGCAUAAUGUUGAAAGGAGUCAAUAUGCCAACAGUAAUAACUACUAAAAAGGGGAUUGAGCAUUCUGUAACAGCAGCCUCGCAACUGGAAUCAUCCAGGUUGAAAACAUCCACUAUUGAAAAGGAUAAACAAGGUAAUGUGCCAAAAUCUAAUCUUCCUGGAGAAUCUAAAAUGGAGAAGAAAGGGGGAGUUUCCUCAAUGGUGGAUUGUGGUCUGUUAGGAGAUAAAUGUAUGAAUGGAAUUGAGCCCGCGGCUUCCAAAAAUACUACAACAUGUGAACCCGAUGUCACUUCCCAAGCAGAAUUUCUAGUUGGGUCAAACUUUGUUACUCCUCGGAAGAGCAAACUGGUGGACGUGACUGCGCCUAUAGCUUCAGAAGAACCAUUGAAGACUAAAAGUACACUGAACAGCAAAGGACAGAAUUGUGGUUCCGUUGCUGGGAAGACCCCUGGAAGUUAUAGCAAGUCAGCUUCGAAUACCAAAUCUGCACCAGGUGAUUCUAGUCAGCCAGCUGGUAGUUCAAGGAAGCGGAAAAGAAAAGGGUGGACUACACUGAAGCAGAUCGCUGAGAAGGAAGAGCUUGAGAGAAAACAGAAGAUGGAUAACUUUGUAAUCCCGUUCUUCAUGCAGUAGAAUAUCUUUUACUGUCAGCACCUGUUGUAAACGUUGGGCUGGAAGAACGGUUACAGUACUUAGUGAUACUCUUUAGUUAUGUACUUUUGCACCAAUCAUGUUGUAGAAAUAUAAAGUUACGAAGGAGUUCAAAAUUAAACCCAAGGCAGAUACGCUAUCAGUCAAGGGAAUGAAAGUUACGGCUUGAAUAUUCGCCAAUGCGGGUGCGCUUGGCUCGACCUGCCAAGUUGUCAAAGAUACCAUCACAGGGACCAUGCUAUGGAGUAGAGUCCACCACUCUCUGUUAGUAUCUGGUAGCAUCUUCAUACUCAUAUUUUUGGUACUUCUGUAGCUGCUCUGGUAGUAACCUAUGUAGCAUCCAUCUUCAGUUCUUGGGGCAUCUCCUGCUUGAAUCCUGUAAACUCGGCACCAACCCAAUGCUAUAAACGUACUUGUAAAAAGGUGCUACACUGAUGAUUCACAGUUGCAAACUGUUUCCUUAUGCCGAGAGUUUUUUUUACGCG